UUCCGGGUUGGAUCCUGCCGGACCCUACUGCUAUCGGGGUGGGACUAAGACAUGCGUGUCGAACGACCCCAAGCCAACAUGAGGUCGUGGCAUACGGCUCAGUAACACGUGGCUAACCUACCCUCGAGACAGGGACAACCCCGGGAAACUGGGGCUAAUCCCAGAUAGAUGAAGACCCCUGGAACGGGUCCUCGUCCAAAAGGCACCGCGGUUAUGCUCUGCGGUGUCGCUCAAGGAUGGGGCCGCGUCCGAUCAGGCUGUUGGUGAGGUAAUGGCUCACCAAACCUAUAACCGGUACGGGCCGUGGGAGCGGGAGCCCGGAGAUGGGAACUGAGACAAGGUCCCAGGCCCUACGGGGCGCAGCAGUUACGAAAACUUGUCAAUGCACGAAAGUGUGAACGGGCUACCCCGAGUGCCGUCCGCUGAGGAUGGCUUUUCUCUGCUUUAAGAAGGCAGAGGAAUAAGGCGAGGGCAAGUCUGGUGUCAGCCGCCGCGGUAAUACCAGCUCGCCGAGUGGUAGGGAUGAUUAUUGGGCCUGAAGCGUCCGUAGCUGGCCUUUCAAGUCUCUUGUUAAAUCCAACGAUUCAAUCGCUGGACUGCAGGAGAUACUGUGAGGCUAGGAGGCGAGAGAAGCCGACGGUAUUUUCGGGGUAGGGGCAAAAUCCUAUAAUCCCGAGAAGACCACCAGUGGCGAAGGCGGUCGGCUAGCGCGCGCUCGACAGUGAGGGACGAAAGCUGGGGGAGCGAACCGGAUUAGAUACCCGGGUAGUCCCAGCUGUAAACGAUGCUGGCUAGGUGUUGAAGCGGCCACGAGCCGCCUCAGUGCCGCAGGAAAGCCAUUAAGCCAGCCGCCUGGGGAGUACGGCCGCAAGGCUGAAACUUAAAGGAAUUGGCGGGGGAGCACCACAAGGGGUGAAGCUUGCGGUUUAAUUGGAGUCAACGCCGGG
rnacentral:rRNA from 1 species